rnacentral:rRNA from 1 species
AAUAGAUACCCAGGUAGUCCUAGCCGUAAACGAUGCAUACUAGAAGUAGGAGGGCUCAACCCUUUCUGUUUCGGAGCUAACGCGUUAAGUAUGCCACCUGGGGAGUACGCUCGCAAGGGUGAAACUCAAAAGAAUUGACGGGGGCCCGCACAAGCAGUGGAGCAUGUGGUUUAAUUCGAUGCAACGCGAAGAACCUUACCUGGGCUCGAAAUGUAGAGGACUAGAUAAGAGAUUAUCUAUCCCGAAAGGGUCUCUAUAUAGGUGCUGCAUGGCUGUCGUCAGCUCGUGCCGUGAGGUGUUUGGUUAAGUCCAGCAACGAGCGCAACCCUUAUCGUUAGUUGCCAGCGCGUAAUGGCGGGAACUCUAACGAGACUGCCUAGGUUAACUAAGAGGAAGGUGAGGAUGACGUCAAGUCCGCAUGGCCUUUAUGUCCAGGGCUACACACGUGCUACAAUGGUCGGUACAGAAGGCAGCGAAAACCGUGAGGUGGAGCAAAAUCCUAGAAAACCGAUCUCAGUUCGGAUUGC